CAGGGCGACAGCGGUGGGCCGAUGAUGAUCCGUUCUCCCGACGAAAUAUACACGCUGGCCGGCAUCGUCAGCUUCGGAAAUGGUUGCGCGCUGCCAGAGUUCCCAGGGGUGUACGCCCGCGUCUCAGAGUUUCUGCCCUGGAUCCAGGAGAACAGCCAGCUGUGAGAGCUGUCCUCUAGACUGGACAGGCAGGUGAUGGUUGACGGCCACCGCCGGCCGCCUCCUGUUCUCACCCUGGCCAGAGGGUCAGGCUGGCGCCACCGCGGACCCAGCGGAGACACGUGACGUCUUCUGGCCGUCGAACUGGCAUCGAGACAGACAGCUGCUGAUGCCAGCGAAGUGGUGCCCGGCCAACCAUUUGGUGGAGGCAACAACUGAAAGUCCUCUGAAAAUUAUAAGGAGCCUGCGUGAGGUGGCAAAAGCUUCUGACGCAAUAUAACACAUCGUGCUUGUUCCCCACCGUCUCAAAACUAAUUAUUCUCCUUUCAUCGGGAUUUCGCCUUUUCUACCAGCUUUUGCUUCGACACUGAUCCCUCACGGACAACGCUCAGACCAUCUUGUCGCUUCAUACAUUCUUAGCCAAACAGUGAUGCAUUGGUCGCAAGCUCCGAUGGUUGAUGGGCCAGUUGGUUUCGUUGCACGCGCAGCUGUCUUAUUCAGGCCCGGCGCGUGCGCUGAAGUUUCUAUUGUUUGUCACGGAUUCUCUGUCACGUGAUGCAUUAUUUAUACAACCUGCCGUAGUUGUGUCAUUGUUUAACUUGUUGACAAUCAUAAUGAUUAAUAACUUCAUAUUCUAUGCAAGAAACUAUCGGUACGGUACAUUCUAGUUACUGUGACAUGUGUGGCAUAUGCAGAGCCGUGCAGAAUAUUUUGGGGAAGUGUAAACGGCUUACAUUGAAAUAAAUCAUAAAACAGCC